rnacentral:rRNA from 1 species
GAUGAACGCUGGCGGCGCGCCUAACACAUGCAAGUCGAGCGGCAGCGCGGGGUGCUUGCACCCUGUCGGCGAGCGGCGGACGGCUGAGUAGCGCGUGGGAACGUGCCCCAAAGUGAGGAAUAACUGCCCGAAAGGGUAGCUAAUACCGCAUAUUAUCUUCGGAUCAAAGGAUUUAUCCGCUUUGGGAGCGGCUCGCGUCGGAUUAGGUAGUUGGUGAGGUAAUGGCUCACCAAGCUGAAGAUCCGUAGCUGGUCUGAGAGGAUGACCAGCCAGACUGGAACUGAGACACGGUCCAGACUCCUACGGGAGGCAGCAGUGAGGAAUCUUCCACAAUGGGCGAAAGCCUGAUGGAGCAACGCCGCGUGCAGGACGAAGGCCUUCGGGUUGUAAACUGCUUUUAUAAGUGAGGAAUAUGACGGUAACUUAUGAAUAAGGAUCGGCUAACUACGUG